GCCGGAGUAGCUCAGGUGGUUAGAGCGUCGGAAUCAUAAUCCGCAGGUCGGGGGUUCAAGUCCCUCCUCCGGUACAA
rnacentral:tRNA from 1 species